UAUUGGUUGUGAAAGGGGGUAUCCACUGUCUCCACUGAAUCUCUUCUUCCACAGUUAUUUUCUGGGACACUGCACUAUACAACUUUAUUUGAUGGCAGAACAUUCAGAGGCUGUAAGCUUGACACAUGGCAAAAUGCUUCUGCUGUUUCUGAGUCUCGGUUUGGUCACUUCUAACGUCCAGUCAGGAAGACAAGGGGUUAACGUAACGUGUGAAAAUCAAUCGGUUGUAGCAGGACAGAACCACAACCUGACAUGUAGAGUGGAUUACCAUGAUGCAGAUCAGAAUAACACGGGAUGUAAAACUCAACAGUAUUUCUGGAAGCAUAAAUCAAAAACUCCAAUACAAAAUUGUGAUUGUACAAAAGAUUGUAACAUUACGAUAACCAAAAGCUACUUUUGUGAGAUGAAAAAUGUUACCAAAGCUGAUGAGGGAAACUACACUUUUACCAUUAACACAGACUGUGGAAACGGAAAAGACACAUUUAAUGUUUCAUUGAGAAAUGAAAAACAAGGUUUUCUGGGAUGGUCAGGUCACCUAUCGUCAGUAUCAUCACUGUUCUGGGUGUUCUACUGUUUCUCAUCUUAAGACUUAAUAGUUCCUUGAGAAACAAUGGCAACACUGACAGUAUUCCUGAAGCUACCAGAGAGGCCCUCAACCAGAAGCCUGCAUAACUCUCAGUCUGGAGGAGCUGUGUGUGUGGCGUGUGUGUGUGGGUGGGUGUGUGUGUUGGUUCUAUUAUCCUUGUGGUGACAGAAAAAUCUCAUUUACAUAAGUAAUCAAAAUCCUAAACCAAUAAAUACUUUGUGGAAGCACCUUUGGCAGUGAUUACAGCUGUGAGUCUGUCUGGGUAAGUCUCAAAGAGAUUUCCACACAUGGAUUGUUCAACAUUUUCCCAUUAUUCUUUUCAAAAUUCUUCAAGCUCUGCCUAAUUGGUCAUUGCUAGAGAACCAUUUUCAGGUCUUGCCAUAGAUUCACUGUCUUCUUGGUAAGCAACUCCAGUGAAGAUUUUGGCCAUGGGUUAUUGUCCAGCUGAAUGGUGAAUUCAUCUCCCAGUGUCUGGUGUAUUGGAUUUGCCUAAAAAAUAACACUUUGUAUUCAGAACAAAAACUGAAUUGCUUUGCCAUGUUUUUUGCAAUACUACUAUAGUUCCUUGUUUCAAACAUGAUGCAUGUUUUGGAAUAUUUUUAUUCUGUACAGGCUUCCUUCUAUUCACUCUGUCAAUUAUUAUUUAUUUACCUUUAUAUAACUAGACAGGUCA